UACGGGGGGGGCAAGCGUUGUUCGGAAUUACUGGGCGUAAAGGGCUCGUAGGCGGCCAACUAAGUCAGACGUGAAGUCCCUCGGCUUAACCGGGGAACUGCGUCUGAUACUGGAUGGCUUGAGUUUGGGAGAGGGAUGCGGAAUUCCAGGUGUAGCGGUGAAAUGCGUAGAUAUCUGGAGGAACACCGGUGGCGAAGGCGGCAUCCUGGACCAACACUGACGCUGAGUGAGCGAAAGCUAGGGGAGCAAACGGG
rnacentral:rRNA from 1 species